rnacentral:rRNA from 1 species
AUACGGAGGGUCCGAGCGUUAUCCGGAAUCAUUGGGUUUAAAGGGUCCGUAGGCGGGAAUCUAAGUCAGUGGUGAAAUCUUGCGGCUCAACUGUAAAAUUGCCAUUGAUACUGGAUUUCUUGAAUUAGUGUGAAGUGGUUAGAAUGUGUAGUGUAGCGGUGAAAUGCAUAGAUAGUACACAGAAUACCAAUUGCGAAGGCAGAUCACUAACACUAUAUUGACGCUGAGGGACGAAAGCGUGGGGAGCGAACAGGAUUAGAAACCCCAGUAGUCC